GCGACCCAUACUUGGUUUCCU
rnacentral:miRNA from 1 species